ACGAAUGUGCUCUUUUGAAUCUUCCUUCUAGUUUUUCUGAUUCACUUAUCAUAGCAACCAAUCGCGGCAGUUAUGUUAUUUACCCGGGCAAAACAAACUAAAUACAUGUCCAGUUAGCGAGCUAAUUUGGCAAGCCCUUCUACUUAAAUACAAGGUCCACAAUGAUGUCAACCGGUGAUUUGAAAGGAUGUCUUCGGAAGCUGGAUGCUCAACUACGGGCAUUGAAGUACCCAAGAGAGGUCGACUAUAAUGGCUUGGCCAAAGGGGAUCCUUCUGCCUUUCUUCCCAUAGUGAGUUAUGCAUUCAUCUCCUAUUCACCACACCUUGCUGAACACCUGGUGGGCUUCGGAGUGGAACUCACUGGGAAGAACGACCUACGUUUUAUCGAAUGCAUCUACAAGGUACUGCGGGAUCUCUUCCACUACAAACCCGUCCUGACCAAGCAGCAGUUCCUCCAGUUUGGCUUUGCAGAAAGAAAGACCUGCAUCCUCUGUGAUGUCAUUUCCUUCGCCCUGCAGAAACACAAAGAGCUCAGCAAAGGCAACAAGCCAAAGCCGAGAGCUCGUUUUCAGGCCUCGAGUUCAGACUCCAAAAGUGAGGCUCUCCCAUUUCAGGCUGAAACAAUGAACCCCAUGGCUACCACAUUGUCCCUAAGCAGGCCACUAGUGGAGAGACACAUUGGUGGUGACUCCUGGGUCUCCUCUAGUAGAACCUCUGAUAAUGAAGAGUCUGAGGAAGAGGAGGAGGGGCUGGGACUGGAGGAGGUCCAGAACCAAGCACCUACAGUCCCUCAAACAGACCUGGUGGUGGAGGGGAGGCUGGCAGUGCUGGAGGCCCAGCUGCCGCAGAUCCAGACUAGGCUGGGGAUGCUCUUGGCCCUGGAGCAGAGGCUGGAGCUUCUAGAGAAGGCCUCGGCCGGGAGUAUCACUAUAGACAAGCACCAGUGGGAGAACCUGGAGAGCAGAGUGCUACUGCUGGAGACCAGACUGACCCUCUCCACAGCCACGGCCCAGGAGUCGUCACUUAUCAAUGGAGGUUGGAGUCAUCACAUGGCGGAUAAUGCAACAGAAGCUACUGGUUGGAACUGAUUUGGACAAAAGUGUCUUAAGUCAAGACCCAGUCCUCCAGAGAGCCUCCUACACAACUCUGGCUGUGAGCGUCCUCAGUCCUCCACCCCUUCUGCUAGCUAUCCCAUCAGCCCCUGUGUGACAACUGCACCCCCAGAGGAGAAUAUGAAAGAGAGAUUGGAAAGGAUAGCCAACAUGAUGAAAGACACAUCCAGCCUUUUAAGAAGUAUAGAACCCUCAAUGUAAAUUCAGACUUUAAAAAGAUGUGUAUUUUUGUAAUUGAUCUCCGGAUUAGUAUGUGAGUGAUGAAUAAAGGUAUCAUGGAUAAAUAUA